GCUGGGUGUGGCUCAGCGGCAGGGCGCCCGCCCAGCACGUGUGAGACCCUGGGUUCCACCCUCAGCACCGCA
rnacentral:tRNA from 1 species